rnacentral:rRNA from 1 species
AGUGAACGCUGGCGGUAGGCCUAACACAUGCAAGUCGAACGGCAGCACAGUAAGAGCUUGCUCUUACGGGUGGCGAGUGGCGGACGGGUGAGGAAUACAUCGGAAUCUACUUUUUCGUGGGGGAUAACGUAGGGAAACUUACGCUAAUACCGCAUACGACCUACGGGUGAAAGCAGGGGAUCUUCGGACCUUGCGCGAUUGAAUGAGCCGAUGUCGGAUUAGCUAGUUGGCGGGGUAAAGGCCCACCAAGGCGACGAUCCGUAGCUGGUCUGAGAGGAUGAUAAGCCACACUGGAACUGGGACACGGUCCAGACUCCUACGGGAGGCAGCAGUGGGGAAUAUUGGACAAUGGGCGCAAGCCUGAUCCAGCCAUACCGCGUGGGUGAAGAAGGCCUUCGGGUUGUAAAGCCCUUUUGUUGGGAAAGAAAAGCAGCAGGUUAAUACCCCGCUGUUCUGACGGUACCCAAAGAAUAAGCACCGGCUAACUUCGUG